rnacentral:rRNA from 1 species
GACGAACGCUGGCGGCGUGCUUAACACAUGCAAGUCGAACGAAGUGGCGAACGGGUGAGUAACGCGUAAUCAACCUGCCCUUCAGAGGGGGACAACAGUCAGAAAUGACUGCUAAUACUCCAUAGCAAGGGAUGAGCCUAUAUCGUAUCAGCUAGUCGAUGGGGUAACGGCCUAUCGAGGCUAUUACGUGUAACUGGUCUGAGAGGAUGAUCAGUCACUUUGGAACUGAGACACGGUCCAAGCACCUACGGGAGGCAGCAGUAGGGCAUAUUGCGAAAUGGGGGAAGCCCUGACGCAGCAACGGCGCGUGGAGUAUGACACUUUUCGGAGCGUAAACUCCUUUUGUUAGGGAAGCGGUACCUGACGAAGAAGCACCGGCUAACUCCGUGCCAGCAGCCGCGGUAAUAC